AACGAACGCUGGCGGCAUGCCUAACACAUGCAAGUCGAACGAGACCUUCGGGUCUAGUGGCGCACGGGUGCGUAAGGCGUGGGAACCUGCCCUUAGGUUCGGAAUAACUCCCCGAAAGGGGUGCUAAUACCGGAGAAUGUCUUCGGACCAAAGAUUUAUCGCCUUUGGAUGGGCCCGCGUUGGAUUAGCUAGUUGGUAGGGUAAAAGCCUACCAAGGCGACGAUCCAUAGCUGGUCUGAGAGGAUGAUCAGCCACACUGGGACUGAGACACGGCCCAGACUCCUACGGGAGGCAGCAGUGGGGAAUAUUGGACAAUGGGCGAAAGCCUGAUCCGGCAAUGCCGCGUGAGUGAUGAAGGCCUUAGGGUUGUAAAGCUCUUUUACCCGGGAUGAUAAUGACAGUACCGGGAGAAUAAGCACCGGCUAACUCCGUG
rnacentral:rRNA from 1 species